rnacentral:tRNA from 1 species
AGUCCCUUAGUGUAGCGGUCCAUCAUGGAGGGUUCUGGGUCCUCCGACCUCGGUUCAAAUCCGAGAGGGACUACCA